rnacentral:rRNA from 1 species
UACGUAGGUGGCAAGCGUUGUCCGGAUUUAUUGGGUUUAAAGGGUGCGUAGGCGGUCCUAUAAGUCAGUGCUGAAAUAUCCCGGCUUAACCGGGAGGGUGGCAUUGAUACUGUUGGACUUGAGUAAAGUUGAGGUUGGCGGAAUUGACGGUGUAGCGGUGAAAUGCGUAGAUAUUGCUCGGAAGGCCAGAGCCGAAGGGGUUUUACUGGUGCGCAACUGACACUGAGGCACGAAAGCGUGGGGAGCAAACAGG